UACGAAGGGGGCUAGCGUUGCUCGGAAUCACUGGGCGUAAAGGGUGCGUAGGCGGGUUCUUAAGUCAGAGGUGAAAUCCUGGAGCUCAACUCCAGAACUGCCUUUGAUACUGAGAGUCUUGAGUUCGGGAGAGGUGAGUGGAACUGCGAGUGUAGCGGUGAAAUGCGCAGAUAUCAGGAAGAACACCCGUGGCUAAGGCGGUUCUCUAGUACGGUACUGACGCUGAGACGCGAAAGCGUGGGGAGCGAACAGG
rnacentral:rRNA from 1 species